CGUCUAUAUACGUAUAGCAUAUCAAUAAGCGGAGGAAAAGAAACUAACUAGGAUUCCCUCAGUAACGGCGAGUGAAGCGGGAAGAGCUCAAAUUUGAAAUCUUCAAGGUUCUACCUUGACGAAUUGCAGUUUAAAGAAGUGUUUUCUGUUGGAGUUUUGGUAAAAGUUCUUUGGAAUAGGACAUCAUAGAGGGUGAGAAUCCCGUAUUUGACCAUUAUUUCCAACUUUGUGAUACACUUUCAAAGAGUCGGAUUGUUUGGGAAUGCAGUCCAAAAUGGGUGGUAAAUUUCAUCUAAAGCUAAAUACUGGCGAGAGACCGAUAGCGAACAAGUACCGUGAGGGAAAGAUGAAAAGAACUUUGAAAAGAGAGUUAAACAGUACGUGAAAUUGUCAAAAGGGAAGCGUUUGACACCAGUGUUGUUUUCUCGAAAAUCAAUUAAAAAUGGUGGGAUUUUGUGUUGUAUUGACUUUAUCAGCUUUCUGCACUCUUUUCCUUAUCUUUUUUAAUGCACUUUUCGUUUAACAAGUCAACAUCAAUUUCUUUUGCUGUAAAAGAGUCAUUGGAAGGUGGCUUUCUUUUCGGAGAAAGUGUUUAUAGCCUUUGACUUCUGCAAUCGGAGAGAUUGAGGUCUGCAGCGUAGAUCCUUCGGGGUUAGAUGCAUUUGUGCUAAGUUAUAGCCUUUCAUAGACAACUUGUUGACUAUGAUCAGUCAUGUAGCUUACUCGCUUAUGUCAUUUUACCUACGCUUAGGAUGUUGACGAUCAGCUGAGCGCG
rnacentral:rRNA from 1 species